CUUUGACUGGAAGGUGAGAAGAGUGGUGUUAACAGGGCUGUGUUCAUGCUGCAGUCUGUUCUCAGAUGCUUCUGAUAAAAGCAUUAAAACACACUGCUGAACUCAAGCACUGCUUUCAUACAUUAAAAACUGAAGAUCCUGGUGGAGCAGGUGAAUAUCCCUGAAGAUGCUGCCGUUAAGGCAGCCUGAAGGCAUGAAAUUACAGAUGGUGCUCACUCAUCCUAAAAUUGAAAACUUCCUCUUUCCAAAGGACUCCUGUUUUGGAACUGAAGAAGGGUUUGCAGGCUGGAAAGUUUGUCCAUGUUUUUUUUCUCCCGCUGUGCCAGCUGCUCUAGGAAAAGUUGUUAUCUCCUGCAAAUCUUUCUCCUCAGAAAAAAAAAAAAAAAAGUGUAUUUUUGCUGUUUGUUUUGGUUGGGUUUUUUUCACUUUCAGGAUUGAUUCACACAAGUAAAAACCUCAUUUCUGUUUUAACAGAAUUCUAAGGGAUAUAAAACCACUUGUAAAUCCCUCUACUUUCUGAAAAAGGACUUAAGGGCUAACAAAGUUAAGGAGGCCACUUUAAAAUGAAAAUAAAAGAUAAAGCACAGCAUGUGCCCA
rnacentral:lncRNA from 1 species